rnacentral:miRNA from 1 species
GAAAAAUUGCGCGCAUGGGUUG